GAUGAACGCUGACAGAAUGCUUAACACAUGCAAGUCAACUUGAAUUUGGGUUUUUAACUUAGGUUUGGGUGGCGGGCGGGUGAGUAACGCGUAAAGAACUUGCCUCACAGCUAGGGACAACAUUUGGAAACGAAUGCUAUAACUAAUAUUAUGGAAAUAGGGCCACCUAUUAUUAUUGAAACCUAUAAGAGUUGUGAGAGACCUUUCCGCCCCAUUAGCUAGUUGGAGAGGUAACGGCUCACCAAGGCGAUGAUGGGUAGCCGGCCUGAGAGGGUGAUCGGCCACAAGGGGACUGAGACACGGCCCUUACUCCUACGGGAGGAAGAAGUGGGGAAUAUUGGACAAUGGACCGAGAGUCUGAUCCAGAAAUUCUGUGUGCAUGAUGAAGUUUUUCGGAAUGUAAAGUGCUUUCAGUUGGGAAGAAACAAAUGACGGUACCAACAGAAGAAGUGACGGCUAAAUACGUG
rnacentral:rRNA from 1 species